CUCGUAGGCGGUUUGUCGCGUCUGCUGUGAAAACCCGAGGCUCAACCUCGGGCCUGCAGUGGGUACGGGCAGACUAGAGUGCGGUAGGGGAGAUUGGAAUUCCUGGUGUAGCGGUGGAAUGCGCAGAUAUCAGGAGGAACACCGAUGGCGAAGGCAGAUCUCUGGGCCGUAACUGACGCUGAGGAGCGAAAGCGUGGGGAGCGAACA
rnacentral:rRNA from 1 species